UACGUAGGGUGCAAGCGUUAUCCGGAUUCACUGGGUUUAAAGGGUGCGUAGGUGGAUUGGUAAGUCAGUGGUGAAAUCCCCGAGCUUAACUUGGGAACUGCCAUUGAUACUAUUAGUCUUGAAUACCGUGGAGGUCAGCGGAAUAUGUCAUGUAGCGGUGAAAUGCUUAGAUAUGACAUAGAACACCAAUUGCGAAGGCAGCUGGCUAGACGAAUAUUGACACUGAGGCACGAAAGCGUGGGGAUCAAACAGG
rnacentral:rRNA from 1 species